rnacentral:rRNA from 1 species
UACGGGGGGGGCAAGCGUUGUUCGGAAUUACUGGGCGUAAAGGGCGUGUAGGCGGCCAACUAAGUCCGACGUGAAAUCCCUAGGCUUAACCUAGGAACUGCGUCGGAUACUGGAUGGCUUGAAUCCGGGAGAGGAAUGCGGAAUUCCAGGUGUAGCGGUGAAAUGCGUAGAUAUCUGGAGGAACACCGGUGGCGAAGGCGGCAUCCUGGACCGACACUGACGCUGAGGAGCGAAAGCCAGGGGAGCAAACGGG